rnacentral:rRNA from 1 species
UACGUAGGGUGCAAGCGUUAAUCGGAAUUACUGGGCGUAAAGCGUGCGCAGGCGGUUUUGUAAGUCUGUUGUGAAAUCCCCGGGCUUAACCUGGGAAUGGCAAUGGAGACUGCAAGGCUAGAGUUUGGCAGAGGGGGGGUAGAAUUCCACGUGUAGCAGUGAAAUGCGUAGAGAUGUGGAGGAACACCGAUGGCGAAGGCAGCCCCCUGGGUCAAGACUGACGCUCAUGCACGAAAGCGUGGGGAGCAAACAGG